GAUGAACGCUGGCGGCGUGCCUAAUACAUGCAAGUCGAGCGAACGGACGAGAAGCUUGCUUCUCUGAUGUUAGCGGCGGACGGGUGAGUAACACGUGGAUAACCUACCUAUAAGACUGGGAUAACUUCGGGAAACCGUAGCUAAUACCGGAUAAUAUUUUGAACCGCAUGGUUCAAAAGUGAAAGACGGUCUUGCUGUCACUUAUAGAUGGAUCCGCGCUGCAUUAGCUAGUUGGUAAGGUAACGGCUUACCAAGGCAACGAUGCAUAGCCGACCUGAGAGGGUGAUCGGCCACACUGGAACUGAGACACGGUCCAGACUCCUACGGGAGGCAGCAGUGGGGAAUCUUCCGCAAUGGGCGAAAGCCUGACGGAGCAACGCCGCGUGAGUGAUGAAGGUCUUCGGAUCGUAAAACUCUGUUAUUAGGGAAGAACAUAUGUGUAAGUAACUGUGCACAUCUUGACGGUACCUAAUCAGAAAGCCACGGCUAACUACGU
rnacentral:rRNA from 1 species